CCUGCCCACUGAAAUUUUUUAAAUGGCCGCAGUAAUUUGACUGUGCAAAGGUAGCAUAAUCAUUAGUUUUUUAAUUAAAAGCUUGUAUGAAUGGUUGGACGAGGUAAAUUCUGUCUUUAUUUAAAUAAAAUUAGAAUUUAAUUUUUAAGUUAAAAAGCUUAAAUUAAUAUAAAAGACGAGAAGACCCUAUAGAUCUUUAUAUUAUUAUAAUAUAAUUUUAAUAAAGAAUUUUUAAUUUUUUAUAUUAUAUAAUAUUUUAUUGGGGUAAUAAAAAGAUUAAAUUAAUUCUUUUUGAUAUUUUACAUUGAUUUAUGAAUUUAAUGAUCCAAUUUUUUUGAUUAUAAGAUUAAGUUACCUUAGGGAUAACAGCGUAAUUUUUUUAGAGAGUUCAUAUCGAUAAAAAAGUUUGCGACCUCGAUGUUGGAUUAAAAAUUGUUUUAGGCGCAGAAGUUUAAAAAUUUGGUCUGUUCGACCAUUAAAUUUUUACAUGAUCUGAGUUCAGACCGGUGUAAGCCAGGUCGGUUUCUAUCUUUAUAGUUUUAUAAUAUUUUAGUACGAAAGGACCAAAUAUUUAAUAUAUUAAUAUUUAUAUUUUGAAUAUUAUUAAU
rnacentral:rRNA from 1 species